rnacentral:rRNA from 1 species
GGUUGGUACAACGAGUUGCGAGUCGGUGACGGCGAGCUAAUCUACCUUAAAGCCAAUCUCAGUUCGGAUUGUAGGCUGCAACUCGCCUACAUGAAGUCGGAAUCGCUAGUAAUCGCGGAUCAGCACGCCGCGGUGAAUACGUUCCCGGGCCUU